rnacentral:lncRNA from 1 species
GCCUGCUGUUGUUAUAAGGAGAUACAUGUGACAGCAGGCAUGCCUGCACACAGAAGAAAGACCACGUGAGGAUACAGUAGGAAGGCAGUCAGUCAUCUGCAAGCCAAGGAGAGAGGCCUCAGGGGAAACCAAACCUACCAACACCUUGAUCUUAGACUUCUAGCCUCCAAAGCUUGUUGGGAUAUACAAUCUCCAAAAUCCUGCCUGCUCUGACAUACACACCGUGGAAGCUGUAGCAUCACUUUGCUUCAUGAAUCCUCUGGGAUUGGAAAUUCUUUAUAAGACUGUAUUAAACAAACACAACUCUUUCUGAAUCCUGCAAAACGAAACUGGACCUGGGACAAGUAUUUUAACACAAAGUUCUAUUUGUCCUCAAUCUUGUUUGGCCCUGACCAAAUGUAGGGUGUGAUUUUUUUCUUCUCCACUCCUUCUUACACAAGGCAAGACCUACUCAAACUCCAGGUUUUCAACAGGUGGGGUGAGUACAGUUUCCAUUGGUCCUACUUGUUGCCCAUUGGUAUGGUGGUUGACUACUUUUCUCAAAUCUAGAACUGAAGGGUAGAUUCACUGGCGCUGAUCUCAUUCCAAAACCCACCUUCUAGCUUACUUCUUUCUGGUCUACCCCUACUUUUUGUGGUUAACAUGCUCCUUCCAUACAACUGAGCUGUUUUUGUUUUUGUUUUUAGUGAGCUGAACAGAUUAAGUACCCACUAAGAUCAAGUUUCUUCCUUUCAACUUAAACUUCAGGACUGAACUCUAACUGAACUGCAGACGAGCAAGCAUAGGAAUGUGUAUGGAAUAUGAGCCACUUUGAUAUUGAAGUUGGCAUGCAGCAAAAGCUGACUAAAUACAUCUCCCUGAAGCAGAGGUCCACACAAAACAAUUUGGGAAAAUGAGCUCUAAAAGCCUUCAAAAGACCUCUUUCUACCUACCAUAAUUAACCAGUGUUUAAGAAAACAUGGCAGCCUUUUAGAUGUAAUAUAAUUUUACAGUUUUCAUUGUGAUUCCCAUAUUUAUAUUCCACAUAAUAGAGUGAGUUAGGAUGGACGGCCCCAUUACCCAACCAAAGGGGGACUUGGAGAGCCAAUAAUUGGCAGAGAUGUCAGUGGGACCCAGGUCUCCCAAAUCCUAGCCUGGGUGUUUUUCCACUAAACUUGGUCUUCCUCUUAGUUUUUAUAAGAAGCCCUUCAAGCUCUUGCACAUAUUUAGGUCAAAAUUACUACUUUCAGACCUAUUGUCUGAUUUGGAAGGAAAUCUUGUAAUUACAGGAUGACUUCAAAACAAUAUUCAAUUGCAUAAUAGGAGUGUGGGUUGCAUGUUUUGAGCAUUAAUAAUACUAAGAAGCCUUCCAUUUAUUUGGUUGAACAAAAAUAGUAAUCCAAUGUCCACUACCCAAAAUGGCCCAAGUAACUAUAAAAGCUACUCUAAAGGGAUGAAGAGCUGUGGGAAAUGACUAAAUAGCACUGAAAGCAGUACUCUGCUCUUUAAAAGUUCAAAAAUUAGGCAAUCUGGGUGAGAGAAAGAUGUGAUCUAAAGGAAACAGGACACAGCCCUGAACAAAUUCCAGAACUCAUAAUGUGGUCAGGUUAUACAAUCAAGUGCUAAAACCAAUUUUGGGGCAUUGCUUUAAAAAGCAUUCCUGUUGAACCCAUUUGAGGGCAGGUGGCCUCUUCAGUAUGGCCUUGCACUUGUGUAUGGCACCUGCCCUUGGCCCCAGGCACAGUGUACACUCCUUUGGUGUUGCAAGUGCCUGCCACAGAGAUCCCAGGUGGCAUUCAAGGGAUGACUCAAGGUCCCACCCAUUAAAAAUAUACCUUCCACAUGGCACUGCCUUACCCUUCGUGUAGAAGUGGAAAUAGUACAGCAUUUCUGAAGGGCACUUUGACAGUUGUAUUCAUUCAGGUAUCCAUCAUUGGACAAAGAGAUACUAAGCUACCUCUCCAUGCCAGGCACUCUGUUAACGACUGUAGAUACUGAAGUGAGCAAAGUAGACAAAAAUCUCUGCCCUUAUGGAGCUGACAUUCUAGUAUGUAUGUGGAAGUGGGGCCACGGGGAGGUGGGGAGAUAAGUUACUCUGAGGAAGCAAAGUAAAUUAAAAAGUAAUUAAUAAAUAGAAGGUAAGAAAUUCUUUGGAGAAAACUUAAGCAGUAAUGAGGACAGGGAAUGGAGGUGGGUAAGGAAAGAUCUCACUGAUAAGGUGAUACCUAUCCUAAAAUUAUGUCUAAAAGAUUAUAGCUACAAAAAAAGAAGAAAAACUGAAUGGAAACACAUAAAGUGCAAUUUGUGGUUAUCUUUAGAAGAUAUUUGCGGCAAUUUUCUGUACUGUGUUCUGCAUAUGUGUGCUUGUGUGUUUUUAAUUAGUUGGAAAUUUUGACAAUGUACUCUGGCAUCUUUAUUUCUUAAAAGACCCCACCAAGCAAUUCUGAGGCACAGUAAAAUAUAAAAUUGUUUUCUUCGCACCUUACAUUUUAAGUUCUAUGCUCAAAAAGAUUCUAGUAGUUCUGGGCAUGCUGAGUUCAACAUUUUAAGUUAUACGUAUUUUUUAAUUGCCCUGCAAUUCCCCUCAAUUGGGUUACUGAAGAAUUAUAUGUAAAUAUCUCAUAGUGCAUUGUGAGAAAUGAGUUAUGUAAUCCAUGUAAAGAGGUUAGCAUCAGGCUCAAUAAAUGUUUAGCUGCCAUCAGUGUUAUUAUUGUUAGAGGCUUAGUGGAGAACUUGCUGUUUGAUCUGGACCUUGAAAAAGAAAUGGGUAAAGGAUGUGGAUAAAGGUCAGAGGGUGGAUUAUCCAGGCAGGAAAAAUACAUUGGCAAAAACAUGAGGAAUGACCUCAUUGUGAGCAAAGGGAAGUCUCCCUUUCAUUCAGUAGACCUUUACUGAGCUAUUGGACCACAAGCUCCGGGAGUUCUGAGGCUAUGUCCACCCCGUUCACUGCUUUAUCCCAGCACUUAGUACAGCACGUUACACAAAAAGAGCUGUAAAUAUUUGUUGACUGUUCAAAGUAUUUUAACCACCACUAAAAGCAUGUUCAUUUUAGAUGUGUCCUCAGGCAGCUUCUGUGACAUCAGUUGUCAUUUUAAUAAAGAGCUAACCAGAGCCACUCUAAGAAAAUGAGUUCACCAAGAUAUAUUCAAGCUACAAUAAAAUGUAAUAAUUUUUGGAUUUGUAUGCAAUAACAACUCAUUCAUCUAGUAUGGUUAGGAAAUUAGUAACUUAUUUAUAAUGGAAACAUCCCUUUAAUGCUAAAGGUUUUCAAUUCUAUUUUAACCAAGUUGGAUGGAAAUAUUUUUAAUUUGGGGGGUUUUUUGUUUUGUUUGUUUUAACACAGGGUCUCGUUCUGUCACCCAGGCUGGAGUGCAGUGGCGUGAUCAUGGCUCACUGCAGACUCAACCUCCUGGGCUCAGGCAAUCCUCCCACCUCAAGCCUCCCGAGCAGCAGGGAUUACAGGCACACACCACCAUGCCCAGCUAAAUGUUUGUAUUUUUGUACAGAUGGGGUUUCACUAUGUUGUCUAAGCUGGUUUCGUAAUGGUGGGCUCAAGUGAUCCUCCUGCCUCUGCCUCCCAAAGUGCUGGGAUUACAGGUGUUAGCCACCAUGCCUGGCCUAUUUUUAAUUUUUAUUACAAAUAUCUGUGGCUUUUUGAACACUGCAUAUAGAACAAAAUUGAUCCCUUUAAUGAAUCUGUGUCAGUUAUGAAACACAAGCUGUGAGCAGCCAAAGACCACCUUUGACUAACAUAUUUUAUUAGAAUGUUUUAAAGUAGUCUUCCAAAUUAAAAGAAAAUUGGACAACCAGUCUUGAAAAGGUCAGGGACCAUGCAGCUCCAGGGUUCUACGUGGAAGGGAAGAAUUCAGGAUACCACCAUAAGGAUGAGCCAGCCCAGUAGCUUUGUGUUGGCUCUGCUCAACAUCCAAAUUCCUGCAAAAAGGUGACUGACUUGUCUUGGACCAUAAGCUCAGCCUUGUUCAGGAGAUGGGAAAGCUCCUUACAUGAUGGUUCCUUUGGAACAGAAUACAAAUUGGGAAGGGUAAUUUUCUGAAGAAAAAUCAUAGUGCUGCCUCCAGAGGAGAGCAGAAUGAAUGCUGAGCAUGUGAAAACACGGAAGUCCAACACAAUAAUGAAUAAUCAUUUUGAACAUCAAUUAUAGUAUUAACUUGUAAUUCAGUAAUGUUCUUGAAAACUGAUGUUUAAGGCUAUCUUUCCCCUUUAAUUAGUGGUCUCAGGCUUCUUUACUUUUUGAGUUUCUAAUUUUUAUAAUUCUCUUGUCUUUUUUUUUUUCACCUUUCAAAAUGAUUAUUUUCUUGCUACUUUUUUUUUUUUUUUUUUUUUUUGAGAUGGAGUCUCGCACUGUCGCCCAGACUGGAGUACAAUGGUGCGAUCUCGGCUCAGUUCAACCUCCACCUCCCAGGUUCAAGCAAUUCUCCUGCCUCAGCCUCCCAAGUAGCUGGGAUUACAGGUGCACGCCACUACGCCUGUCUAAUUUUUUGUAUUUUUAAUAGAGACAGGGUUUCACUAUGUUGGUCAGGCUGGUCUCAAACUCCUGACCUCGUGAUCUGCCCGCCUCGGCCUCCCAAAGUGCUGGGAUUACAGGCAUGAGCCACCGCACCUGGCCUUUUCUUGCUACUUUCAAUUUACCCACUUUGGGCAGUCUCCAUCCACUUUCUUCCUCUAUUUGGCUGUGGACUGGGAAAUGAAAUAAACAAGCUUGUUAGAUGUGUGUAUGUAAUGGGACUGUGAAUAAGUAUGAGUCUAUGAGUAAAGCACAUGAUAAAUGCAUAGACUUGGUGUCAUUUACAUUGACUGCUCAAAGACUUCUCUUGCUAAUGUUUAGUUGUUUAGCUACUUAGAUAGUGACCAGAUGAGGAAUUUCUCUGUAAAUGAUAUGCUACCAAUUAUAAGAACACAUGUCCUUUUUAUAAUUGCUUUAAAUUCAUUUUCACCAUAUCAUUGAAAGGAAGGAGAGGGCAAAUAUUUGCUCAGUUUUAAAAGUAUGAAAAAUGGAGCCACAGAGGGCUUAAGUACACUGGGGAAAGGCUAGUGCUGAGCCCCAGGUGUCCUGGUUUCCAUUUUAGAAGUUAGUUAAUAGAUUCAGCUAUGUCAAUAUCAGGAGAUGUACAGAAUCAUAGGUCAAAGACAGCUUAAAACUUCAGAGAUCACUAGGGGAUACAACAAGUGUAUGAUAUAGACAGAAAAGCACAGGGAAAAUUACAUAUGUGACUGUAAAACACACAUACGAAGCUGUUAACAGCACCCACAGAUGGGAACAAACAUUGAUUUCCCUGUUCAAUCACUUUUAGCAACAACUUGGAUAAAGAUACUGAAAAUAUGUUUAACAAUUGCAGGUGACACAAAAUUGAAAAAGAUUACCAGUAUAUUUAAUGAGAGAACCAAGAUCCUGGCUGAAACUACUGGCUAAAAUGUAAUAUUGAUUAGACAACAUGAAUUUUUCAAUUUCUUAUAAUUAUAGCUAACAUUCUAAUUUACAAACAUGAUGUAGGGGAAGUCUUACUUGACAACAAUCAUACGGGUUUUGGUUUGCUGCAAAUAAAGAAAUAAUAAUACCAUUUAUUGAAGAUAGUGCCAGCAUCAUACUAAGUGCUUUAUAUGUACUAUGUCAAGUCUCACAAUUCUAAAACAUAGGCAUCAUCAUCAUCCCCACAUUGUAAGUGAGAAACUGAUAAUUUGAGAAGUUAGAUAAAAUGCCCCGAAUCUGACAGCUAAUGAAUGUUGAAACCAGGUGUCAAAUCUACCUAAAUCCAUGUCUUAACCAAUAUGCUGCUGUUAUUAUGUAAAAAUAAAUGCCAUUAUUAAAAGAUUCAAGGAAGUCUCUUUGUACUACUCAUUUUAAUUGAAGUAUGUGAUUGUCA